GAUGAACGCUGGCGGCGUGCCUAAUACAUGCAAGUCGAGCGAACAGACGAGGAGCUUGCUCCUCUGACGUUAGCGGCGGACGGGUGAGUAACACGUGGAUAACCUGCCUAUAAGACUGGGAUAACUUCGGGAAACCGGAGCUAAUACCGGAGAAUAUAUUGAACCGCAUGGUUCAAUAGUGAAAGACGGUUUUGCUGUUACUUAUAGAUGGAUCCGCGCCGCAUUAGUUAGUUGGUAAGGUAACGGCUUACCAAGGCAACGAUGCGUAGCCGAGCUGAGAGGGUGAUCAGCCACACUGGAACUGAGACACGGUCCAGACUCCUACGGGAGGCAGCAGUAGGGAAUCUUCCGCAAUGGGCGAAAGCCUGACGGAGCAACGCCGCGUGAGUGAUGAAGGUCUUCGGAUCGUAAAACUCUGUUAUUAGGGAAGAACAACUGUGUAAGUAACUAUGCACGUCUUGACGGUACCUAAUCAGAAAGCCACGGCUAACUACGUG
rnacentral:rRNA from 1 species